rnacentral:rRNA from 1 species
UACGUAGGGGGCAAGCGUUGUCCGGAUUUAUUGGGCGUAAAGAGCGUGUAGGCGGCCAGACAGGUCCGUUGUGAAAACUCGAGGCUCAACCUCGAGACGCCGAUGGAAACCGUCUGGCUAGAGUCCGGAAGAGGAGAGUGGAAUUCCUGGUGUAGCGGUGAAAUGCGCAGAUAUCAGGAAGAACACCGGUGGCGAAGGCGGGUCUCUGGGACGGUACUGACGCUGAGACGCGAAAGCGUGGGGAGCGAACAGG